UUCGCCCUACGGGGCGCAGCAGUGGGGAAUAUUGCACAAUGGGGGAAACCCUGAUGCAGCAACGCCGCGUGAAGGAAGACGGUCUUCGGAUUGUAAACUUCUGUUCUUAGUGAAGAAAAAUGACGGUAGCUAAGGAGCAAGCCACGGCUAACUACGUGCCAGCAGCCGCGGUAAUACGUAGGUGGCAAGCGUUGUCCGGAAUUACUGGGUGUAAAGGGAGCGCAGGCGGGAAGCCAAGUCAGCUGUGUAAACUACGGGCUUACCUUGUAGACUGCAGUUGAAACUGGUUUUCUUGUGUGAAGUAG
rnacentral:rRNA from 1 species